rnacentral:rRNA from 1 species
GGCCCGCACAAGCGGUGGAGCAUGUGGUUUAAUUCGACGCAACGCGAAGAACCUUACCUGGCCUUGACAUGCAGAGAACUUUCCAGAGAUGGAUUGGUGCCUUCGGGAACUCUGACACAGGUGCUGCAUGGCCGUCGUCAGCUCGUGUCGUGAGAUGUUGGGUUAAGUCCCGUAACGAGCGCAACCCCUAUCCCUAGUUGCUAGCAGUUCGGCUGAGAACUCUAGGGAGACUGCCGGUGACAAACCGGAGGAAGGUGGGGAUGACGUCAAGUCAUCAUGCCCCUUAUGUCCAGGGCUUCACACAUGCUACAAUGGCUCAUACAGAGGGCUGCGAGACCGUGAGGUGGAGCGAAUCCCUUAAAGUGAGUCUCAGUUCGGAUCGGGGUCUGCAACUCGACCCCGUGAAGUUGGAGUCGCUAGUAAUCGCAGAUCAGCAACGCUGCGGUGAAUACGUUCCCGGGCCUUGUACACACCGCCCGUCA